UGCGGGAUAGAGCAGUGGCAGCUCGUCGGGCUCAUAACCCGGAGGUCGUAGGUUCGAAUCCUACUCCCGCUA
rnacentral:tRNA from 1 species